rnacentral:rRNA from 1 species
UACGAAGGGGGCGAGCGUUAUUCGGAAUCACUGGGCGUAAAGCGUGCGUAGGCUGUUUGGCAAGUUGGAAGUGAAAGCCCGGGGCUCAACCCCGGAAUUGCUUUCAAAACUGCCAGACUCGAGUCCGGGAGAGGAUAGCGGAAUUCCCAGUGUAGUAGUGAAAUACGUAGAUAUUGGGAGGAACACCAGUGGCGCAAGCGGCUAUCUGGACCGGUACUGACGCUGAGGCACGAAAGCGUGGGGAUCAAACAGG